rnacentral:rRNA from 1 species
AGGACGAACGCUGGCGGCGUGCUUAACACAUGCAAGUCGAGCGGAAAGGCCCUUCGGGGUACUCGAGCGGCGAACGGGUGAGUAACACGUGAGUAAUCUGCCCCUAGCUUUGGGAUAGCUCCGGGAAACCGGGAUUAAUACCAGAUACGACCACUUUAGACAUCUGUUGUGGUGGAAAGAAUUUUGGCUAGGGAUGAGCUCGCGGCCUAUCAGCUUGUUGGUGAGGUAACGGCUCACCAAGGCGACGACGGGUAGCCGGCCUGAGAGGGCGACCGGCCACACUGGGACUGAGACACGGCCCAGACUCCUACGGGAGGCAGCAGUGGGGAAUAUUGCGCAAUGGGCGAAAGCCUGACGCAGCGACGCCGCGUGGGGGAUGAAGGCCUUCGGGUUGUAACCCUUUCAGCAGGGACGAAGCGAAAGUGACGGUACCUGCAGAAGAGCGCGGCUAACUACGCGCCAGCAGCCGC